rnacentral:rRNA from 1 species
UACAGAGGUCUCAAGCGUUGUUCGGAUUCAUUGGGCGUAAAGGGUGCGUAGGCGGCGCGGUAAGUCGGGUGUGAAAUCUCGGGGCUUAACUCCGAAACUGCAUUCGAUACUACCGUGCUUGAGGACUGGAGAGGAGACUGGAAUUUACGGUGUAGCGGUGAAAUGCGUAGAUAUCGUAAGGAAGACCAGUGGCGAAGGCGGGUCUCUGGACAGUUCCUGACGCUGAGGCACGAAGGCCAGGGGAGCGAACGGG